rnacentral:lncRNA from 1 species
UUUUUUUUUUUUUUGCUUUUUACGGCCCCACCCAGGGCAUAUGGAAGUUCCCAGGCUAGGGGUGGAUUCAGAGCUACAGCCACCUGCCAGCCCAUGCCAUAGCCACAGCAACGCGGAUCCAAGCCAUGUCUGCGACCUAUACCAUGGCAAUGGCGGAACCUUAACACACUGAGUGAGGCCAGGGAUGGAACCCUGGUCCUCAUGGACCCUAGUUGGGUUUGUUAAUCGCUGAGCCAUGAAGGGAACUCCACAUAGUGUAUUCUAAAGCAUGCAGCUAUGGAAUGAUUUCCCCCACAUAAUAUUGAUCCUUGCAUCUUUCUGGAAUUUCCCCAGCCAUCUGUUCAUUUCCUUUUUGAUCUCUACUUGGGAGGCUAGAAGGAUGUACAGAACUGCUGAGCUCUUCCUUGCCAAACAGUGGGUAGAAGGUGUUUGGGGACUGCUUCAGACUCAAUAAUCUGAGUACUUUGCCCUACAGCAGCUGUACUAUCUAUUACCAUCCUCUUACUAGCAGGGUCAUCAUGACUGGCCAUUUCCACCCAAAGUUACAUAGAGGAAGUGGGUGGAAACCCAUCUGCUCAUCAUUUUUUCCUCUCUGGAACUUCUAUGCAGCUGGGAAGGUCAGGACCCCAAAUGUCUAAAUAUGUGCUGUCCCUACUUCUUUCUUUUCCUUUCCCCAAUCCACUGUGGCCAGAAGGAGCAGGAUUCCUCCCUCCAAUGACAGGACACAUCCCCAUUAAUAGUCUGUAUUUUCUCUACCCCUGAUUUUAGUAAACUUGUUGGUCAAGAUUACUAAACCUAUGUAGAAAAUCUUUUUCUCUGUCUUAUCAAAAUCUUCAUGUGACAACUUUUGCCAUGCUGGCAGAAAAAAAAUCAAAUACACAAAAUGCCAAAUCUGAUCAUCAAAGCUGAGAAAUUACUUCUUCUUCUAGAUGGAAUAUAUUCUCUCCCAGGGCAAUAAAACAAUAAAAAUUUGGAAAAGAUUAGAGAGGCUUAAAUCAAGUGGUUAGUAAAUGAUUGUCUGUUGAACAUAAUUGUGGGAUAUGGAGAGAGUGGAGAAGAGAUGUUUAAAAGAGAUAAGAGCAAGGAUAAAAAGAAAUAAUGAAGAUCUGGAAGUAGAGAGUCUGGAAAGAGACCAUACAUUCUAUUGCACAUUUUACUUUUCCAAAUCCCUCUUUCAACUUAGUAAAAUGGGUCCUAACUAAUAGUAACUACCAAGUGACUAUAAUUUAUUUUGUAUGAAGAUGGGUGACAAAUAUUCAUUCUUAUAAAAUACAACCAGGGCUAACCAUCGUAGGGUAAAAGUGAGUUAGUCUUUGGGUGAAAUGCUUAGGAUAAAGUCUUUAGUGAUUAAGCAUCAAAAACAACAGCACUCUUGAAGUUCCCACUGUGGUUCAGUGGGUUGAGAACCCAACGUGAUGUCUGUGAGGAAGCAGGUUUGAUCGCUGGCCUUGUUCAGUGGUUAAGUAUCCCAUAUUGCCACAAGCUGCAGUGUAGGUGGCAGAUGUUGCUCAGAUCUGGCAUUGCUUUGUGUAGUCCUCAGGGGCAGCUCCAAUUCGACCUCGAGCCUAGGAACUUCCAUAUGCCACAGGUGUGGCUAUAAAAAGAAAAAGAAAACAACGACAACACUCUAGUGGAUAUCACCCUGUCCAUCACUGGUAACUGCAUCAUUUCAGGUAGGAAUGGAAGUGGGGAUGCAGUUUAGUUGGAAUGGGAAGAGGAAGUAGGAUAAAAAUAACAUUUUUUAAAAAAUUUUACUGCCUAUAAAACUGAGAAAAAGUCAAUGGCACAUGCCAAAGAAUGAUGGAAGUAGAGUUGAUGAUGGUAGCUGAAGACACUUUGACCCCCAUUCCCUAGGUGUUACCAGUUUUCCUGAUGGCCAGUAGCCUCCUGAGGAAAGUGAAUUGGCCCAAGUUUAAGUGACAUGAAAUACACUGCAGCUUGAGUAACAUUUCUGGUUUCCAGUGACAUAAAGAUAACCAGUCUUUCAGAUCUUUAACACAAAAGGUGACAUAUAUGAUAUAUCUAUUUGUCAUAUCUAUAAGAAGAAAUCCUUUGACUGACUCAUAAAGAAGAGAAUUAGAAAAUUAAAAAAAAAAAGUGUCCCAAUUUUGAAAGGUACAAAGCUAGUACUUUCAGGUAUUUUAAACUAAUUUUUAAUCAUAUAUCUAUAUACACACACACACAUAUAUAUAUAUAUGUAUGUUUAUAUACACAAAAACACACAUAUAUAUACAUCUCUUAUUUAAACUACUAUAUAUUUAUUCUAUUAAGUCUACUCUUUUUAACAGGUGAGUUAAAAUCUAUAUUUUGGUGGAUUUUUAAAAUCUUUGUAAUUAUAUCAGUUUCACUUUAUAUAUUUUGAAGCUGUUUUGACUAGCUUUUUAAAAACUAUUGUGGUAGCAUCUCCUUUUGUUUCUGUUAGUAUAUUUCUUCCUUAAAUUACCAUUUUAUCUGAGAGUACUGUGAUUUUGUUUAGUGUUUGUCAGUUGUAUCUUUUACAGUUAUCUUGUUUUGUCUUUUUGCCUUAGAUAUAGUUCUCAUAGACAGAACUUAACACCAAUUUUUAAGCCAAAUUGAACUUAUUUGCAUAAAACCUAAUCCAUCUAUAUUUAUUGUUAUUACUGACAUAUUUAAACUUAUUUAUGUCAUCUUACCGUUUUCUUUACUCCUGUGGUACUCUUUUGAAAUGGGAAAGUUUUUACAAAUUCUCUUUAAUGGUUGUCCUUGAAUUUUUUAAUAAACAUCUUUGUAAUUUCCCCCCAAAUCUCCCAUAGAAAUUUAAAUUGCCCUGCAAUGCUCUUUCCCCUGGAGUGCUUAAAACAUUAUACAUAUGCACAAACAUGAGGGUAGAAAACUCUCAUCACUUCCCAAAAACUAUACAGUAGCCAAGGAAAAUGUUUGCGUAUCAAUGCUAAGCAAGUAGGAAGACCCAAAAUUUGAGUGUCUCAUUGGUGAAAGUAUGUAAUAUAAUAUUGUUUUGAUCUUCAUUGUCCAUAUUCAGCAUGUUAUAUACUGUAUUUUAUCUCUUCUUGAAGAAACAGUGAAUGAAACUUGAAAAACAGAGUGACACAAACUGUGAAAUAAGCCAGAGUGUAACUACAGCAUCGGUUCUCACAAAGAUUUGUCUAGGUAAGAUACAGACAGUUAAAUGAUAUAACUAUUGUCAUAAAUUUCAUACUCCAUUGUCCUCCUGCCAAUGUAAUUAUUGUUGAAAUAAUUAGAAGUUUCCUAAGUGGAUGUUCACUGUCAAGGUAAGGAACUGUUUAGAUUUACAAUCAGCUUUUAAAUUUUAAUUGCCCCAUUUCUUUGGACAAAUGUUUCUUACCUGUUUAUAUAAAAAGGACUUAUAAAAGGUAUACAAAAAACAAUGAAGAGAACAAAGUUAUAAUGUACAUAAUUAUAUGCAUGCAAGAGCCUCCAAAAUUAUUGAUGCAGUAAGGAUAAAAUAUAAUUUUAAAAGUUCCAGCAGGAACAUAUGGUAAACAGUUUGCAGAAAUUGCAGAACAUCAUAAGCAUAUGGGUUUACUCCAAAUGAUCUGAAGCAAUUUUAGGGGCAGAGAAUAUCAUAUCAAAGAGUAUGCUCUUUUAAGUGUCAAAAUAGAGCAAAGUUAAAUACUGUUGGCUUGCGUACUAUGGUGGUGGUGGUGUAUGUGUGUGUACUGAGUGUGCUAAAGAGAAAGAGACCAUAAAAAUGACUGAUGACAAUUAAGAUAGAGUAUAUUCCUUAUAAAUACUUAAUCAGACUCUUAGGAGUUGAUCAUGUUGAAACACAUUGGCAGUUGAGACCACAAUUUUGAUUUCAGUUAUUCUUAACAUUUCUCCACUUAAAGAAGCCAAUUAUGCAGAGCAGAAAUGAUGCCUAUUAUUAAAAUAUAUUUAAAAUUUUUAUUUAGAUAUUUCUUUGACAUCUUAAAUAAUUCAGUGUUUAAUUCACAUUUCAUUUUAGCUCAUUAGUGAAUAUAUGAUUUAUUUAGACACUUUUUUGGUAUCAUUCACAUUUGUUAUAUAUGUCUUUAAUGAAUAACAAAUUAUUCAUAAGGUUUUGACACCAUGUUCUUUUAGAUUAGUAGCAUUUGGUUAAAUUUCUCAAAAACCUAUUCUGUUGGACACUGAAUUCUACUUAUUCAUGUUCUUAAUAUUUAGUGCAAUGGAAAUUUUCUAAAUACAAAGUGUUUUUAACAAAAGUCAGUGUUUUUUAAAUUAAGUGUUUUUUUUUUUUUUCAAAAAAAUUGAAGGCCCCCCCCCGUGCUAGAGAAAUAAACUGUGUGGAGUCUCAUGAGUCCUAACAAAUAUAUUUGCUGCAAGUUUUAUCAUUGUACUUAAGACAACUCACAUCAAAAUCUUUCCAACUAUUCCUCCAAUUUUUGAGAUUUGAUUCCUGUUUCUAUUCCUAGAUCUCCAUCUGCUUUCACUGUAAAGUUUUGUUCAUAACCUGUCUGAAACUGUUACAUAUUUUUAAAAGUAUCUCAUCAACUCAAGGGAUAUUAGAUUUAGAAGAACCUUUGGAAAUAGUCUAGUCCAGUAGAAUAUUUUCCACCCAACUUUCAAUGGGAAGGCGAUGCAUCAGAAAGGUGAAGAGAAGGGAGAGACUUCUGACAGAAUUUGUGUGGAGAAUGAGUGUGUGAGUGACUUUGAAAAGCCACCCAAGAGGGCUUAAUAUGCUCCCUCAGCUGAGAAUCUUCAUUCUGUAGGUAUAACAAUGUGGGAACAAAUAAAUCUCAGCUGUCUAGAUCAGAAAUAGAGGUAGAGCCAAGGUUUUCUGACUCCUAAUCUAAUGCCCUUUCUUCAAUACCAUAUUACAUGCACUUACUCAAGUCCCAUAACAUUUAUAUUUCUUUGUUUGCAAGCAAUAUAAGCAGACUCUGGGUAAUUUAAUUCAAAAAGAAAAAUUGUUAAAGUACAUAGGAUAGCUCAUGAAAUUGAAUGAAAAAUGAAAGAACCAGGUUUCAGAGCAGCUCUGGGCACCUGUCCUCAGGAACAAAGAGAUGUUUUCACUGGCCAGCAUGAAUCAGGUCUACAAUCCCUAUGUUAUUCUGCUCAUGAAUUAAAUGCAUCUGACAACCUGGCAUCACUUCCCCAUCUUUUGGCAGGAGUAGAGUGGGGUAUCUUGAUCAGGAAUCCCACCAAAACUGAAGAAAGGUUGAUUUCCUAAAGCAAAUCCAUUUCCUAAAGAAAAAUCCGUGGAAGGAAGAACUGGAGGUGGUCAGCCAGAACAACACCUGUCCACUCCAGUGUCCAUCUUGAGAGAAGUCCCAUUCCAGCAGAAACUUCAAAUCCUGCAUUUUGGUGACAGUCAGUCCUGGCAUGAUUUCUAGAAGCCAGUGCAGUGGUCACGAGCAGAGAUUCUUUUCCCAACUCACACCAUUCUCCUACUUGAAUCCUCCUUCCCCUUAGCUUCCACUCAACAGAUGGGACAAAGCACACAGUGGAGAAGGUAUUCCUGGAAAGAAGCUUUACGGAAAGGAAUAAAAUAAGAAUGAACAGAAACUGAACAGAAAACAUUUAGCCUUGGAGAGGAAGAAUUUAUGGGAAUUCAUGCCAUUCUUUUUAGUUUUCUCACUUAGUGCACUGACUGUGUGUUACUGAGUCCAAGCACAUACUGCAGGACAAUAAAUCAAGACGGGUUGUUGGGGGCAAGGAAUAGUGACUUUACUUGGAAAGCCGGCAGAUGGAGAAGAUGGUGGACGAGUGUCCCAAAGAACCUAUCUUGCCUGGGUUUGGAUGCUAGUUUCUUUUACAGAACAAGGAGCAGGAAGUGAGGAGGUAAAAUAAAAGAAGUUAUAAAUUGUUGCAAAUAUUUCCUGGUUCUGGCUAUACUCUGGAAGAUAGGUGUUAAUUUCUUCCUUCCUGCAGCCAUUCACAAGUGGGCCUGGUCAGGAUGUUUCCUAUGAGCUAAACCGUGGUAUUUUAGCUUAAGGAGCAGGCAUGAGAGGCAAGGUUCCCAGAGAUGGACCAUUAUGUAUACUUUAAGCUGUAGGCAACAUCUCUUUAGCAGCUAACUUGCACCAAGAGCAAUAGAAUACAAAGAUUAAAGUAAAAGAAACACAUCCAAUAUGGAGUCAGACUCCUUCUUCCCUAUUACACGAGGAGAAAUGGUAGGAGCAUUGGAGCCAACAUGCAGCUGAUGAGAGGUGAUGUAAAGAUUGCCACGUAGGCUAUCGUAUCCAGAAGAAAGUCAGAAAUGUGCAAGGGCUGGGCCAGGUGACUAGGUGAUUGUCUCCUGGUUAUGCUCCUCUUCCUGGGAGGCUGAGUGAAGGGAAGAAAAACUGGAAUGGGGUGGUGGGGGACCAAGCAGAAGUAGUGAACUCUUGAGGAUUGUGAUGCAAGUAUAGUUUACAUUUUAAUUAAGGGGCCCAUGUGGAAGGUAAGCGAAAGGGGCUGGCAUGUGGAACUGCUUAACAACUGGAAGCCGUCAUGACAAAGAGCCACUUUCUUUGUAUGUGGGCUGUGGGCAUAGAAUUUGUGACCACAGGAAGGACGUUCACUGUUCAGGGUUCAGGCAUGGAGUUUGGGUGCAGCUGAUUCAUGUGUGUGGCUGAAGAGAAAUGGGCAUAGAUUUAACAGGACAGGAUCAAAAUCUAAAUGGGGAAAAAAAGUCACUCCCUCAGGUUUAGAAAAUAUCAAAAAAAAUGUUAAAAAAAAAAAAA